UCAAAUGAUUAUAGGAUUACGGCGAAUACCUAGGCAUUCAGAGACGAUGAAGGGCGUGGCAACCAACGAAAUACUUCGAGGAGCUGGAAACAAGCAAUGAAUCGGAGAUUCCCUAAUAGGGCAACCUCAAGAACUACUUAUUGAAUUCAUAAAUAAGAAAGAGAAAACCUGGUGAAUUGAAACAUCUUAGUAGCCAGAGGAAAAGAAAGCAAAAGCGAUUCCCGUAGUAGCGGCGAGCGAAAUGGGAACAGCCUAAACCGUCUGAUAUUUUCAUUCGGGGUCGUGGGAGGAUAAAAAUAGCGUUAUUUGAGUAGACGAAGCAGCUGAUUCCUGCACCAUAGACGGUUAUAGUCCGGUAGUUUAAACUUAAAUAAGCGCUUAGCACUUUUUAAAGUGGCAUAUGUUAUCUUAUCCCGAGUAGCAUGGGGCACGUGAAAUCCCGUGUGAAUUUACGAGGACCACCUCGUCAGGCUAAAUACUCGUGAAUGACCGAUAGCGAAACAGUACCGCGAGGGAAAGGUGAAAAAGAACCCCUUAAGGGGAGUGAAAAAGCAUAUGAAACCGUAAUCUAACAAGCAGUGGGAGAACUUUUAGUUUGACCGCGUGCCUGUCGAAGAAUGAGCCGGCGACUUAUAGAGGGUGGCGCGGUUAAGGGAGUCAAAAUUUCCGAAGCCAAAGCGAAAGCAAGUUUGAAAUAGAGCGAUUCUGUCACCCUUUAUGGACCCGAACCCGGGUGAUCUAACCCUGACCAGGAUGAAGCUUGGGUGAAACCAAGUGAAGGUCCGAACUCAUCGAUCUUGAAAAAUCGUGGGAUGAGUUGGGGUUAGUUGGUUAAAUGCUAAUCGAACUCGGAGCUAGCUGGUUCUCCCCGAAAUGUGUUGAGGCGCAGCGAUGAACGAAAAACAAGUACGGCUUAGGGGUAAAGCACUGUUUCGGUGCGGGCUGCGAAAGCGGUACCAAAUCGUGGCAAACUCUGAAUACUAAGUUUGUAUACCGCUCAUCAGUGAGAAUGUGGGGGAUAAGCUCCAUAUUCAAGAGGGAAACAGCCCAGAUCACCAGCUAAGGCCCCAAAAUGACAGCUAAGUGGCAAAGGAGGUGAAAGUGCAGAAACAACCAGGAGGUUCGCUUAGAAGCAGCUAUCCUUUAAAGAGUGCGUAAUAGCUCACUGGUUAAGCGCUCUUGCGCCGAAAAUGUAUGGGACUAAGUUGUCUGCCGAAGCUGUGGGAUAGUACUUUAAAGAGUACAUAUCGGUAGGGGAGCGUUCCGUGGUAGGUUGAAGUAUAUUUGUAAAAAUGUAUGGACGAAACGGAAGCGAGAAUGUCGGCUUGAGUAACGAAAACAUUGGUGAGAAUCCAAUGCCCCGAAAACCUAAGGGUUCCUUCACUAGGUUCGUCCAUGGAGGGUUAGUCAGCGCCUUAGGCAAGGCCGAAAGGCGUAGUCGAUGGGAAACAGGUCAACAUUCCUGUACUAAUUGUUGUUUUGAACCGAGGGACGAAGAAGGCCGCCAUACACUAAAGAUGGAUUUUGUGAGAAACGUUCGAGGUGAUGAGAUCGAGAAUAAAAACUCGAUAUAGAGCUAAGACGUCUUAUGUCUUUAUCCUUUGUCAGUGCUCCGGUAGUGGCAAACUAAAGAUUAUGUAACGUGUCAUACUUCCAAGAAAAGCUUGAACUUUUUAUAACAACAAAUUAGCUGUACCCGAAUCCGACACAGGUAGGUUGGUAGAGUAUACCUAGGGGCGCGAAAUAACUCUCUUUAAGGAACUCGGCAAAAUAGCCCCGUAACUUCGGAAGAAGGGGUACCCCUGCGAGGGGGUCGCAGUGACCAAAUCCAAGCGACUGUUUACCAAAAACACAGGUCUCCGCUAAGUCGUAAGACAAUGUAUGGGGGCUGACGCCUGCCCGGUGCUGGUAGGUGAAGCGAGUUGGUUAUCCGCAUUAGCGGAGAAGCUGGCGACCGAAGCCCCAGUGAACGGCGGCCCUAACUAUGAGGGUCCUAAGGUAGCGAAAUUCUUUUUCGGGUAAGUUCCGAACCGCAUGAAUGGCGUAACGACUUGGGUACUGUCUCAAAGAGAGAUUCGGUGAAAUAGAUAUGUCCGUGAAGAGGCGGACUACUUACAUUUGGACAGAAAGACCCUAUGAAGCUUUACUGUAGGUUGACAUUGGAUUUGGGCUUUUCUUGCGCAGUCUAGGUGGGAGGCUAAGAUGCCUUGGUUGCGGCCAAGGUGGAGCCGUCAUUGAGAGACCACUCUGGAAGAGCUAAAAUUCUAAUUGUGUUCCUUGAAUCAGGACACUUGACAGUGUCAGUCGGUCAGUUUUUCUGGGGCGGAAGCCUCCUAAAAGGUAACGGAGGCUCGCAAAGGUUCCCUCAAGCUGGACGGAAAUCAGCUGUAGAGUGUAAAGGCAUAAGGGAGCUUGACUGUAAGACCUAUACGUCGAACAGGGGCGAUAAGCCGGCCUUAGUGAUCCGACGGUGCCGUGUGGAAGGGCCGUCGCUCAAAAGAUAAAAGUUACUCUAGGGAUAACAGGCUAAUGACUCCCAAGAGAUCAUAUCGACGGAGUCGUUUGGCACCUCGAUGUCGGCUUGUCACAUCCCAAGGCGGAAGUACGUCUUAAAGGUUGGGCUGUUCGCCCAUUAAAGUGGUACGUGAGCUGGGUUCAGAACGUAGUCACACUGUUUGGUCCAUAUCCGAUGUAAGCGUUAGAGCGUUGAGAGAAUCCUCACUUAGUACGAGAGGACCGGCGAGGAGGCACCUCCGGUGUACCAGUUGUCCCGCCAGGGGCAGACGCUGGGUAGCUGCGUGCCGAGUGGAUAACCGCUGAAAGCAUCUAAGUGGGAAGCCCAUCUCAAGAUGAACGCUCUCCCGUCAUUUUGACGAGUAGGCCACAGCAAGACUAGCUGUUUGAUAGGUGGCAGGUGUAAGGUCGGCAACGUCCGUAGCUGAGCUAUACUAAUAGGCCUAUUGAGUUUGA
rnacentral:rRNA from 1 species